GUUUGCACUCAUCGGGGAAGGGUGAGAACCUUCGACUAAGGUUCGAUUUGAGCGAAAGCGAGAGAGCGUUGCCGCAGGCAACGACCCGAAGGGCGAAGCGCGCAGCGCUGAGUAAUCCUUCCCCCACCACCA
rnacentral:sRNA from 1 species